rnacentral:rRNA from 1 species
GAUGAACGCUGGCGGCGUGCCUAACACAUGCAAGUCGAACGAAGCACCUUACCUGAUUCUUCGGAUGAAAGUUUGGUGACUGAGUGGCGGACGGGUGAGUAACGCGUGGGUAACCUGCCCUGUACAGGGGGAUAACAGCUGGAAACGGCUGCUAAUACCGCAUAAGCGCACGAGGAGACAUCUCCUUGUGUGAAAACCUCCGGUGGUACAGGAUGGGCCCGCGUCUGAUUAGCUGGUUGGCAGGGUAACGGCCUACCAAGGCAACGAUCAGUAGCCGGUCUGAGAGGAUGAACGGCCACAUUGGAACUGAGACACGGUCCAAACUCCUACGGGAGGCAGCAGUGGGGAAUAUUGCACAAUGGGGGAAACCCUGAUGCAGCAACGCCGCGUGAGUGAAGAAGUAUUUCGGUAUGUAAAGCUCUAUCAGCAGGGAAGAUAAUGACGGUACCUGACUAAGAAGCUCCGGCUAAAUACGUG